rnacentral:rRNA from 1 species
UACAGAGGGGGCAAGCGUUGUUCGGAAUUACUGGGCGUAAAGGGCGCGUAGGCGGCCUGUUAAGUCGAAUGUGAAAUCCCCGGGCUCAACCCGGGAACUGCGUCCGAUACUGGCAGGCUUGAAUCCGGGAGAGGGAUGCGGAAUUCCAGGUGUAGCGGUGAAAUGCGUAGAUAUCUGGAGGAACACCGGUGGCGAAGGCGGCAUCCUGGACCGGAAUUGACGCUGAGACGCGAAAGCCAGGGGAGCAAACGGG